AAACCAUGGUGAGGAGCCGGUGCCACAUUCUCUCCUGAGCGGGAAGCUGGUCAUUGUGUUGCUUUGCUUCAACUACCAUUUACCAUCGAUGAUGGUUCUUCUCCACCUCUGGAAAGAGUCAGAGGAGAAGAUGCAAUCAGAGUGG
rnacentral:snoRNA from 1 species